GACAGAGGUGGCAAGCGUUGUUCGGAAUUACUGGGCUUAAAGGGCGCGUAGGUGGUAGUGCAAGUCUGAGGUGGAAUCUUAGGGCUUAACCCUAAAAUUGCCCUGGAAACUGCAUUACUUGAGUCAGUGAGGGGAGGGUAGAAUUCCUGGUGUAGCGGUGAAAUGCGUAGAUAUCAGGAGGAAGGCCGGUGGCGAAGGCGGCCCUCUGGCGCUGAACUGACACUGAGGCGCGAAAGCGUGGGGAGCAAACAGG
rnacentral:rRNA from 1 species